rnacentral:tRNA from 1 species
GCCUGUGUGGCUCAGUGGAUAGAGCAUCAGCCUGUAGACUGAAGGGCCCCAGGUGCGAUUCCGGUCAAGGGCA